CUACGGGAGGCUGCAGCAGGGAAUAUUGCACAAUGGACGGAAGUUUGAUGCAGCGACGCCGCGUGGAUGAUGAAGGCCUUCGGGUUGUAAAAUCCUUUUCAGGGAGAAGAGGAAGGACGGUAUCCCUGGAAUAAGCGUCGGCUAACUACGUGCCAGCAGCCGCGGUAAGACGUAGGACGCAAGCGUUAUCCGGAUUUACUGGGCGUAAAGCGUCUGUAGGCGGCAUAGUAAGUCUGAUGUGAAAGCUCCAGGCUCAACCUGGAGAGUGCGUUGAAUACUGCUAAGCUAGAGGGGAUCAGAGGAAAGCGGAAUUUCCGGUGUAGCGGUAAAAUGCGCAGAUAUCGGAAAGAACACCAGUGGCGAAAGCGGCUUUCUGGGAUCAACCUGACGCUGAGAGACGAAAGCUAGGGUAGCGAACAGGAUUAGAUACCCUGGUAGUC
rnacentral:rRNA from 1 species